CUUAGCAGAGAUGCUUUGGUGCCUUCGGGAACUCUGAGACAGGUGCUGCAUGGCUGUCGUCAGCUCGUGUUGUGAAAUGUUGGGUUAAGUCCCGCAACGAGCGCAACCCUUAUCCUUUGUUGCCAGCGAUUCGGUCGGGAACUCAAAGGAGACUGCCGGUGAUAAACCGGAGGAAGGUGGGGAUGACGUCAAGUCAUCAUGGCCCUUACGGCCAGGGCUACACACGUGCUACAAUGGCGCAUACAAAGAGAAGCGACCUCGCGAGAGCAAGCGGACCUCAUAAAGUGCGUCGUAGUCCGGAUUGGAGUCUGCAACUCGACUCCAUGAAGUCGGAAUCGCUAGUAAUCGUAGAUCAGAAUGCUACGGUGAAUACGUUCCCGGGCCUUGUACACACCGCCCGUCACACCAUGGGAGUGGGUUGCAAAAGAAGUAGGUAGCUUAACCUUCGGGAGGGCGCUUACCACUUUGUGAUUCAUGACUGGGGUGAAGUCGUAACAAGGUAAGCGUAGUGCU
rnacentral:rRNA from 1 species